rnacentral:lncRNA from 1 species
CCCUAAACACUCAAAACUACCUUAAAAACACAAUAUGGGCAAUUUUGGGACUCUCACACAAACUUGGACAAAUUUUGGUUUUCUAAUGAACUAAAACACUUAAAAACAUAAUCUAAGACAAGUUUUAAUUAAUAUGACUCAAAGAAAUAAGAUGGGGUUGAUUUUCGACGAAAAUAAUUAAAUUAAGACAAGAACAAAGUAAACAAAUUCUUAGACAAAUUUGGGUGAAUCAAAACAUUCUAACACACAACCAAAACAGAAAUUAAACACUUUGAAACAAUAAAGUAAAAGGGGGAUUUUGGUUUUAAUGAAUUUGAAAACAAAACAAACUUUGUAAAACAAAACAGAUUGUAAGUGAAUUUGAAUGAAACUUAUGGAUGGAAGAUUAGCUAGGAGGUUCUUCUCCACAUAUGUCACACUUGCAUACAAAACGAUUUCCAGUUGCUUUUCGAUAAGCUAUGAAUACUCAACGCCCCAAAUUAACCGUGAAUUGCACUAAUUAACCCUCAAUUUUUCCACAAGUUAUUAGGUUGGAUGAUUGCAUACGACAACCCAAAACAUUCCCUACAAGUUCCCUACAUGAAUUGCAUAAUAGAGAUACAAGCAAGAAUCAUUAAGUUCUAUGAAAAACAUAAGCAUUGACAAGGCACUCGUUACUAUGAUUUGCAUGAAACUUAUGCCAAGAGUUUACUUAACGUGAUUGUGACUAGCAACCUU